rnacentral:rRNA from 1 species
UACGGAGGGGGCUAGCGUUGUUCGGAAUUACUGGGCGUAAAGCGCACGUAGGCGGCUUUGUAAGUUAGAGGUGAAAGCCCAGGGCUCAACCCUGGAAUUGCCUUUAAGACUGCAUCGCUUGAAUCAUGGAGAGGGGAGUGGAAUUCCGAGUGUAGAGGUGAAAUUCGUAGAUAUUCGGAAGAACACCAGUGGCGAAGGCGACUCACUGGACAUGUAUUGACGCUGAGGUGCGAAAGCGUGGGGAGCAAACAGG